rnacentral:rRNA from 1 species
GACGAACGCUGGCGGCGUGCCUAAUACAUGCAAGUUGAGCGCUGAAGGUUGGUACUUGUACCAACUGGAUGAGCAGCGAACGGGUGAGUAACGCGUGGGGAAUCUGCCUUUGAGCGGGGGACAACAUUUGGAAACGAAUGCUAAUACCGCAUAAAAACUUUAAACACAAGUUUUAAGUUUGAAAGAUGCAAUUGCAUCACUCAAAGAUGAUCCCGCGUUGUAUUAGCUAGUUGGUGAGGUAAAGGCUCACCAAGGCGAUGAUACAUAGCCGACCUGAGAGGGUGAUCGGCCACAUUGGGACCGAGACACGGCCCAAACUCCUACGGGAGGCAGCAGUAGGGAAUCUUCGGCAAUGGACGAAAGUCUGACCGAGCAACGCCGCGUGAGUGAAGAAGGUUUUCGGAUCGUAAAACUCUGUUGGUAGAGAAGAACGUUGGUGAGAGUGGAAAGCUCAUCAAGUGACGGUAACUACCCAGAAAAGGACGGCUAACUACGU